rnacentral:lncRNA from 1 species
GGCAUGGGAGGCAGUUGUGGCGUGGGAUCUAGGGUGUCUGCAGCGGGCUCGGCGGCCGUGUGAGGCGCUCGGCCCGCCGGACCCCGCGUGAAGCGGGUCGCUGUGGAAGCCGAGCGCGGUUUGGGAUGUAGCUAUUCGCCGUACGCCCAGGCCCAGAACUGGGCGGGAAUAAAGCGAAUUCCUGGUCACACGGGUGUCCUUGAUGAUUUGGAAAUUUGAUCUACAGAAGCACAGUGAUUUAAAUUUUCUAGGGGCCAUGUCAAAACUCCAUAGAUGAAUGCUCAUUUGUAACAAGGCUAUGAAUAAAU